rnacentral:rRNA from 1 species
GAUGAACGCUGGCGGCGUGCCUAAUACAUGCAAGUCGAGCGAAUGGAUUAAGAGCUUGCUCUUAUGAAGUUAGCGGCGGACGGGUGAGUAACACGUGGGUAACCUGCCCAUAAGACUGGGAUAACUCCGGGAAACCGGAGCUAAUACCGGAUAACAUUUUGAACCGCAUGGUUCGAAAUUGAAAGGCGGCUUCGGCUGUCACUUAUGGAUGGACCCGGGUCGCAUUAGCUAGUUGGUGAGGUAACGGCUCACCAAGGCAACGAUGCGUAGCCGACCUGAGAGGGUGAUCGGCCACACUGGGACUGAGACACGGCCCAGACUCCUACGGGAGGCAGCAGUAGGGAAUCUUCCGCAAUGGACGAAAGUCUGACGGAGCAACGCCGCGUGAGUGAUGAAGGCUUUCGGGUCGUAAAACUCUGUUGUUAGGGAAGAACAAGUGCUAGUUGACUAAGCUGGCACCUUGACGGUACCUAACCAGAAAGCCACGGCUAACUACGUGCCAGCCGCCGCGGUAA